CUUUUCUUACGAUUAAAAAAAGGGCUUUUAGGUGAAAGCAGGCAAGGUCGCCGAGUGCUGCGGCCCAGCGCUGUCGGCAGCCGGGGGAAUGGGCUUCCUGCGCCGUGUGGCAGCAGGGAGGGACGGUGUGCCCGCCCCGCGGUCCACGGAACCCCUGGGGCGAGCCAGAGGGGCUGUUUCUUUUCCCCCUUUCUCAGGUCCGUUACAGCCGUCGGAGCCCCAUCCGCCGGUGAUGUAAAGCCGGGGGUGUUGUGCAGCCCCCGCUGACAGAGCCAUCCCAUUCCGCAGCCUGGCUGUCAGAAGCCCUCCAUAUGGCCAUGUGAUUGCUGCUGCUGCUGCUGCUUCACGUGAUCCAGCUUUCUGGCACAAAGGCUCGGAGCUCGUACAGAUGAUUGUUAAACAUCAUGAGACUCUGCAAGUGAAUCUCUUGAAGAAAAGCUUGAAAGCCUGGAUGCUGAAGAUCUCAUGUCUCAUCUGUCACGACCAGAAACCUACCUAGAUGAGGAGAAAAGAUCAAGGAAGUAAAACUGACCAAACUACGGCACUGACAAGGUCACUUACUCAAACAGUCAAUAUGAAACAAUGUCUGUUAAUCCUUCAGUGAUGGCAAUUUAUCGUACGUUAUUUGAUCACUGAAUUUGAUAUUUUGAAUUUCAUUGUGGUAAUGAGAUCCAAUAGAAAUCCCCUGAAAAAUAACACCUUGUUAAAAAUUGCUACAGGAGAGUUUCAUUUAGCUGGCUGGGAAAACUCUCUGUCUAACUCAAUGUGGCAACUACUCACUCAGCUGCACUGAGUGCAACGCUGGUAACAUCAUCUGUCCAAGUUGUCUGACACUUCAGAAGACCCUGUUUUCAGAUAUAACUUCAGUCUAACCAUUCAGGCUGAAAAUUUCCAUGUCAGGUGUAUGCACCAGACUGAUCUUUUUUGGAAGAUGGAGAUAAGAUUUGAAGGAUAAAGAGACUGGGAGCAAGAAACGUUCUGACGGGGAGCAAUCCUGCGUGUUAAACAUUGUGUUGCUCUAGGGGAAGGAAGGUGUUAGAGAUGCUGCAGAGCCUCAGAAAGGAGGGCUAGGCAGCUCUUUAACCAGCAGAUUUCAGAUUUUUACAUACUGACUGGAAAGGAUCUGAAAUUCUACCAGGUAUGCCACCAGUUUGGCAGCACAGGAGAAGAAAUGGUUAUUGGCUCUGCUCAUAAGGAAGAGACUACUUCAUUUGGAAAUGCUGUAGGUUACUGCUUCAUUCUGCAAUUUACAGCCAAUGACUGAGCAGAAAGCUUUUAUAUCCCAAGAAGCUUUAAAAUAAAGCAGUUUCAGUUGUAUCAGUUUCCUGCUCAAGUUCAUGUGACAGUACUUGGUCUGCCUGUCUUGGUGACAGUAUGAAUUUAUAGAGACAGAAGCAAUCAGAUCAUAUAGUUUUCAAGAAGAUUAAAGACAAUACAAGGUGGCUAAGAGAUUCUUGAGGCAAAAGCUGCAAUCUAAAUGUGAUCUGCUUUCUCAGAAUCAAAUCCCUGGACUGGCUCCAAUGAGCAGCUCAGGAAUGUUCAGCACAACCAGAGCCUCUAGCUAUGGGACAGAACAAAAGUUGCAACAGUGAUGAUGCUUUAUCUUCCACAUCUUACUCCAGCAACACUUCCAUGGGUGCCAACAAUGAAAUCUGCUUGAAAGAGGCCUGAAAAGAAGACUUUUUCUUUUCAAAUUCUGAGGCAGUGAUUUAGAGACUGAUCAACUCAUUGCAUUUGUGACUGUGGUUAACUGAAACCACCUAAGGCUGAUAAUGCCAUCAUGAACUCUCACAUCCAAAAAUUAAGCUCAAACCUUAUCUAAGCCAAACCCCAUGUCUGAAUGCAGCUUUCCAGUUCAUUCAGAGCAGCAUAGCACUCAGCAUUUUCCCUCCAACAACAGAAAGCCCCUUCCUGGCCUCCCAGAAUGUUGCUGCAUGAGAAUACAGUUGUCACUCCUACUGCAAACUUAUUUAAGAGACAAUAGGACAAAUAGUUGGCACAUAGUUUCUUCUUAAAAUGUAAAUCUAGAUCAACAAUAAAACAUAAAAGGCCAAGGAAACAUGCAAAGACACUCAGAAAAUGCUCAUUUUACUUUGCAGAUUAAUUUUUGCUGAGAGCGAGACAUUGCAAUUUACAAAGUGGGCCCUAUUCUGCAAUUCCUUUCUUACACGAGCUCAUUUUAAAGCCACUGAGGUUGUUUAUGGGAGUAAAAGUUACUUACAUGAGUAAGGACUCACAGAGUCUGGCCUUACGCAUUUUGCUACCUAGGCAUUAUCUGGGAUGUAGAGCAGCGUGUAUUUUUAGAACUAAAAAUGGACUUCGGUUGUUUCUUUUGGAAAAAGUUCUGACUUUUGGAAAAAGUUCUGACUUCAGCUUUCACCCAUCUGCAGUUUGCUCCGCAGCCACAUUGAAUGGACGGGCUCAGCCUUUGUCCCUGUCUCCGUGCUGCUCGUUACCAGCCACUCUCAGCCCCGACGUGCUGUAACUCACCAGGACGUGUGCAGUCUGAAUUCCCAUUCCAGAUUUGCUCCUCAAGCCUAAGGCCAUUAUUCCAUCUCAGAUUAAAACGUAUCUUCCCAUGGGCAGCUGAAAAAGAGCAUGUUUCUUCAGCUUUUCUUGCCACAAAAUGAUAAAAUAAACUGAAAUAAAAUAAUAAUAAUAGAAAGGAAAUCCAAUCUACGGCAAUCCUCAGAGUUCUGGAGUCUAAGCGUGUUGAUCUGCAUCCAUAAAUGUCCUGACCGGUGAGUAGACACAGGCACUACAACUGGAAAGAGAGCAGGAAGGAAAACCUACCAUGUGAGCAAAGUUAAA